rnacentral:rRNA from 1 species
UACAGAGGUCUCGAGCGUUAGGCGGAAUCACUGGGCUUAAAGCGUGUGUAGGCGGAUCGUUAAGUACCUUGUGAAAUCCCACGGCUUAACCGUGGAACUGCUUGGUAUACUGGCGGUCUUGAGCCAGCUAGGGGCUACCGGAACAAAUGGUGGAGCGGUGAAAUGCGUAGAUAUCAUUUGGAACGCCAAUGGGUGAAAACAGGUAGCUGGGGCUGUGCUGACGGCUGAGAACACGAAAGCCCAGGGGAGCAAACGGG